rnacentral:rRNA from 1 species
GAUGAACGCUGGCGGCGUGCCUAAUACAUGCAAGUAGAACGCUGAAGGAGGAGCUUGCUCUUCUGGAUGAGUUGCGAACGGGUGAGUAACGCGUAGGUAACCUGCCUGGUAGCGGGGGAUAACUAUUGGAAACGAUAGCUAAUACCGCAUGACAACAGUUAUUGCAUGAUAACUGUUUAAAAGGGGCAACUGCUCCACUAACAGAUGGACCUGCGUUGUAUUAGCUAGUUGGUGAGGUAACGGCUCACCAAGGCGACGAUACAUAGCCGACCUGAGAGGGUGAUCGGCCACACUGGGACUGAGACACGGCCCAGACUCCUACGGGAGGCAGCAGUAGGGAAUCUUCGGCAAUGGACGGAAGUCUGACCGAGCAACGCCGCGUGAGUGAAGAAGGUUUUCGGAUCGUAAAGCUCUGUUGUAAGAGAAGAACGAGUGUGAGAGUGGAAAGUUCACACUGUGACGGUAUCUUACCAGAAAGGGACGGCUAACUACGUG